UCAUUCUGAGGAUAAUGAGGUCCAUUGAGGAUUGGGGAAAGGGGUAUUUGCCGAAACUUUGAGAACUCAUUCUUCUUAAAGUUGGUUCUGUGAUUGAAUAAAUGCAGAACUGUCAUAUAGGGAACUAUAUGGAGGGCUAUCUUACGC
rfam:Bacillus sp. SA2-6 scf7180000001142, whole genome shotgun sequence.